rnacentral:rRNA from 2 species
ACCCUCCUCCUAACAGCUAGCCCUCUCCCUUAAAUUCAACAAAUAAAUAUUAACUAACCCCAAAUACUCUAAAAAUAAUAAAACAAACCAUUUUACCCCCCUAGUAUAGGUGAUAGAAGAGGACCAAGGCGCAAUAGAAAAAGUACCGCAAGGGAAAGCUGAAAGAGAAAUGAAAUAACCCAGUAAAGAGGUAAAAAGCAGAGAUUUUCCCUCGUACCUUUUGCAUCAUGAAUUAGUCAGAAACCUUCAAGCAAAGUGCCCUUCAGUUUGAACCCCCGAAACUGAGCGAGCUACUCCAAGACUGCCUAUUUAGGGCUAACCCGUCUCUGUGGCAAAAGAGUGGGGUGAGCUUAGAGUAGAGGUGAUAGACCUAACGAGCCCAGUUAUAGCUGGUUGCCUAUAAAAUGAACAGAAGUUCAGCCUUUUGUCUUCUUUAUUCAACUAGGGUUAACACCCCCAACUGACACCAAGAAGCCUAAAGAGUUAUUCAAGGGGGGUACACCCCCCUUGAAAAAAGACACAACUUUAUCAAGCAGGCUAAAGAUCAAAAACCCAAAGGCAAUUUUACCUUGGCAGGCCUAAAAGCAGCCACCCAUAUAGAAAGCGUUAAAGCUCAAGUAUACUGCCCACCCCCAAUUCCAAUAAUAAUAUCUUAAGCCUCUAUUUUAAAUAAUAGGCCUACUUAUGCAAACAUAAAAGAGAUACUGCUAAUAUGAGUAAUAAGAGGGCUAAGACCCUCUCCAAGGCACCUGUUUACAUCAGAACGAACCCACACUGAAAAUUAACGCCCCCAACCUCAGAGGGUAAUGAAAAAUUAAAACUAACCUAGAAAACCUCUCAACCCCCAGCGUUAGCCCCACACAGGUGUGCCCAAGGAAAGACUAAAAGAAAAAGAAGGAACUCGGCAAACACUGGCUUCGCCUGUUUACCAAAAACAUCGCCUCUUGGACAUAAAUAUAUAAGAGGUCCCGCCUGCCCUGUGACUCUUAGUUUAACGGCCGCGGUAUUUUGACCGUGCAAAGGUAGCGUAAUCACUUGUCUUUUAAAUGGAGACCAGUAUGAAUGGCACAACGAGAGCCAAACUGUCUCCUUUUUCCAGUCAAUGAAAUUGAUUUUCCCGUGCAGAAGCGGGGAUACCCCCAUAAGACGAGAAGACCCUAUGGAGCUUUAGACACAAGGCAGCCCAUGUUAAAAACCCAAGUUAAUGGAAACAACAAAAUGGUUUCUGCCCUAAUGUCUUUGGUUGGGGCGACCAUGGAGCAACAAGAAACCCCCAUGUGGAACAGGGCCUACUCCCUUAAAGCCAGAGCUACAGCUCUCGCAAACAGAACAUUUGACCAACAAGAUCCGGCAAAGCCGAUCAACGGACCGAGUUACCCUAGGGAUAACAGCGCAAUCCCCUUUUAGAGCCCAUAUCGACAAGGGGGUUUACGACCUCGAUGUUGGAUCAGGACAUCCUAAUGGUGCAGCCGCUAUUAAGGGUUUGUUUGUUCAACAAUUAAAGUCCUACGUGAUCUGAGUUCAGACCGGAGAAAUCCAGGUCAGUUUCUAUCUAUGACUAAUGCUCUUUUCUAGUACGAAAGGACCGAAAAGAGAGGGCCAAUACUUCAAGCAAGCCCUGCCCUGACCUAAUGCAAUCAACUAAAUUAGGCAAAAGGACAUGCCUCCUUAAGCCUAAGAAAAAGGCAA